UACGUAGGGUGCGAGCGUUGUCCGGAAUUAUUGGGCGUAAAGCGCACGUAGGCGGCUUUUUAAGUCAGAGGUGAAAUCCUGGAGCUCAACUCCAGAACUGCCUUUGAUACUGAGAGGCUUGAGUCCGGGAGAGGUGAGUGGAACUGCGAGUGUAGAGGUGAAAUUCGUAGAUAUUCGCAAGAACACCAGUGGCGAAGGCGGCUCACUGGCCCGGUACUGACGCUGAGGUGCGAAAGCGUGGGGAGCAAACAGG
rnacentral:rRNA from 1 species